CCUAUUAGCACCUUACCGCUGUGUCAGUGGAAUGAAGCCAGUCCGUCAAGAUGAAGAACCAAUUGGGGAACAGGAUCUCAGCAUCAGAACUACCAUUACAAGGGAACUGGCAAUGAGAGACAAAUGAUAUACAUGGAAUGAUGUCAGUUUAAACCAGGUGCCGAAGCAAAGAUUGGAAAAUGAAGGUUUCCUGAAAUGUCUUGGGGUGUAAAUCAGGCAUUGGUGGAAGCAGUGAUCUUUCAGAGAAGAGUGGACAUUGUCUUAAGUGCCUCACAAGGGAGAGAGACCACCGCAUCCUCUCCCAGGGAUCUUAAUCACAGCUGAGACUCCGGCUAUUUCAAGCAUAGAAGCUUCUAAUUGACUUUCAGAGCUGUAAUGCAUGUCUGGGACUCAUGGAGAAUAUGAACAAACUCACUGCAAAGCCUUCUGGAUACUUUCUCCCAGGUAACAAUUGUUCCCAUUAUCACAGGUCAGCCAGGAGGAGGAAACAGCCUCCUGCUGGUUGUCCCCAAAUGAUGCUGAUGUAGAGUCCUGGACAUGCAGUCCUUAAGAGCAGCUGUGUUCUUCCACCCUACAUCUCCCCUCUGCCUUAUCUCUGAUGAGCACCCACUGGCACUGAAUGUGUAACUGCCUGUGGCCUUAAAGAUGCCUUUGUUUGUUUGCUUGCUUGCUUUCUGAGCCCAUACUCUUUAUACUCUCCUGCUAAGCAAGGUGUUCGUUUCUAGUCUUGUUAGUCUCAACUGGGUUAUGGCAGCACAUGGCAGCACUUAGAAGGUAGAGGUGGGUGUGACACAGGAACUAGCUCACUUCAGGUAGUAAGUAGAAAUAUAAAGGGACCAAGGCUGAAAUCUCAAAGUGGCUCACAAGUAUCUUGGUGAAGACAGAAGCUGGAGUUAAAUGGAGGAACAGGGAUUAACACAGCAGAGUCUGGAGCACUGAGGAAGAGGUAGGAGAGAGCUGGCAGCUGAGUGGCAGUGAAGCUAAAAUAGUAGAAAGAA
rnacentral:lncRNA from 1 species